rnacentral:rRNA from 1 species
GAAUUUUAUAUAGAUUUAAUUAUUUAGAUUUAGUUAAUAAAAUAAUUAAAAUAUAUUUAGUUGGGAGGAUGAUUAAAUUAAAAAAACUUUAAUUAUUUUAUAAUAUAAAUUAAUAGAUUUAAAGAAUGGUUAAUAAAUUGAAUAAGAAUUAAUUACCUUAGGGAUAACAGCGUAAUAUUUUUGGAGAGUUCAUAUUAAUAAAAAUGUUUGC